GACGAACGCUGGCGGCGUGCUUAACACAUGCAAGUCGAACGGUAAGGCCCUUCGGGGUACACGAGUGGCGAACGGGUGAGUAACACGUGGGUGAUCUGCCCUGCACUUCGGGAUAAGCCUGGGAAACUGGGUCUAAUACCGGAUAGGACCACUGCCUGCAUGGGUGGUGGUGGAAAGCUUUUGCGGUGUGGGAUGGGCCCGCGGCCUCUCAGCUUGUUGGUGGGGUGAUGGCCUACCAAGGCGACGACGGGUAGCCGGCCUGAGAGGGUGACCGGCCACGCUGGGACUGGGGUACGGCCCAGACGACUACGGGAGGCAGCAGUGGGGAAUAUUGCACAAUGGGCGCAAGCCUGAUGCAGCGACGCCGCGUGGGGGAUGACGGCCUGCGGGUUGUAAACCUCUUUCAGCACCGACGAAGUGCAAGUGACGGUAGGUGCAGAAGAAGGACCGGCCAACUACGUGCCAGCAGCCGCGGUAA
rnacentral:rRNA from 1 species